UCCGUGGUCGAAGAGGCGUGUAUACAAAAAAAAAACGGAAAAAAACACUCACCGGGUAUCGAAUUACGUUUUUAUUUUGAGCCUCCAAAAAUAAGAAGUUUAGAUUUGAAGUUCAGAAGAUUAAAAAAAUUCAAACAGAGUGACUCAUCGGCCAUAUUGAUUUUUUAGAGUUUUAUCAAAUGUCCUUUUGACCUUGGUGCUUCGAAAGUGUUGCAAAGUGACGGGAAGGCCGAAGAAAGAAAAUGUACGAGAAUUUGUUCAAGAACCCGUUGCACCGGGUUUUCGUUUACGGGACAUUAAAAAGGGGCGAGCCGAAUCAUCGGAUUCUUCAAAACACAAAAGACGGGGGCUACGCGAAAUUUCUCGGUUGCGGAAAAACGGUCAACAAGUAUCCUCUCGUUAUCGCAACCAAAUACAACAUUCCAUUUCUGCUGAAAAAACCUGACACCGGGAACCAAAUUCUCGGUGAAGUUUACGACGUCGAUACGAAGAUGCUCGAGAAACUGGACGAAUUAGAAGAGCAUCCGUCAUUUUAUGUUCGUACAGAGGAAGAAGUGCUGAUGGCGCCAGCGGCAAAUUUGAAACCGAAUAUUAAUUUCGAAGAGAUGGGCAUAUUGUGCAAAGCUUGGACUUACUUUUUGCCGAACUUCAGACCGGAGCUCCUCGAUAAAGAAAUGUUUAAGAGUUACACGAACGAGGGAAGCCAUGGGCUGAGAUACGGCGAGAGGUAUCUUCGCGACACUGAUUUCAAUCAUCGUCGUGAAGUGCAAUGAAUCCUAUUUUAUAAAAAAAAUCAUGAAAAAGUACUUGAAAACGGAUGGAAAAUUUUUAAAAUCGAAAUUUUCUAAAAAAUCAAUGGAUUUAACGAUUUUGUUGACAGCAGUGGCGACUUCGCGAAGCCGGAAGACGUCUUGUGAGGGUAACUGGCAACCGCAUCACCAAAGUUCUUCCGAAAAAAUCAAAAAUAUCGUUGAACAAUAGACGACCAAGCUGAUAAUAAAGAGGAGGAAAGAAAAGAGUAUCGAGGAGCCUAAAAACUGCUUCUCUUCAAUGUGUCUUUGUUUUAUUUAAAAAAAGCCUUAUCUAACAGAAAUAAUUAAACAAUCGUCAACAAAAGUGUAAA